rnacentral:lncRNA from 1 species
GAAAGGGAAAGCGGCCGUUAAUAGGCCUGCGACUGACGCGAGUAAUAAAAGAGGCUCUGCGACCUUCGUUUCCAACAGCAACAGAGUGCCUGGUGAACGCCCGUAUUGCGGACUGGCUGCGCUAUGCUCCAUCCAGGCAGCAAAAACGAGAAGCAGCCACUCUUAUCAAGGCAACCGAAGCCAGCCUCGCAGAUGCUGAGGAUGUGAUGUGAUGUGGAAUGCUGAGGACGGAUCUGAUGUCUUGUCUUAGGCAGCAUCACUUUUGUUUAUAAUGCAAAUGUGAACAGCACUUUUCUACUUUUUUUCUGUAUACAUGAUGCCAUCAUGCUGCAUUCACCGCCACAUUUUCAUGGCUCUUGAAAGAAGUGUUCUAUUCUUUAUGUUCUUUUUCCACUCAUGACUUCUAGUACCUCUAAG